rnacentral:rRNA from 1 species
UAGGGAAUCUUCCACAAUGGACGCAAGUCUGAUGGAGCAACGCCGCGUGAGUGAAGAAGGCUUUCGGGUCGUAAAACUCUGUUAUUGAAGAAGAACGUGCGUGACAGUAACUGGUCAUGCAGUGACGGUAUUCAAUCAGAAAGUCACGGCUAACUACGUGCCAGCAGCCGCGGUAAUACGUAGGUGGCAAGCGUUGUCCGGAUUUAUUGGGCGUAAAGCGAGUGCAGGCGGUCUUUUAAGUCUGAUGUGAAAGCCUUCGGCUUAACCGAAGAAGGGCAUCGGAAACUGGGAGACUUGAGUGCAGAAGAGGAGAGUGGAACUCCAUGUGUAGCGGUGAAAUGCGUAGAUAUAUGGAAGAACACCAGUGGCGAAGGCGGCUCUCUGGUCUGUAACUGACGCUGAGGCUCGAAAGCGUGGGUAGCAAACAGGAUUAGAUACCCUGGUAGUCCACGCCGUA